GGGUUGUGAGGUUAAGCGACUAAGCGUACACGGUGGAUGCCCUGGCAGUCAGAGGCGAUGAAGGACGUGCUAAUCUGCGAUAAGCGUCGGUAAGGUGAUAUGAACCGUUAUAACCGGCGAUUUCCGAAUGGGGAAACCCAGUGUGAUUCGUCACACUAUCAUUAACUGAAUCCAUAGGUUAAUGAGGCGAACCGGGGGAACUGAAACAUCUAAGUACCCCGAGGAAAAGAAAUCAACCGAGAUUCCCCCAGUAGCGGCGAGCGAACGGGGAGGAGCCCAGAGCCUGAAUCAGUGUGUGUGUUAGUGGAAGCGUCUGGAAAGGCGCGCGAUACAGGGUGACAGCCCCGUACACAAAAAUGCACAUACUGUGAGCUCGAUGAGUAGGGCGGGACACGUGGUAUCCUGUCUGAAUAUGGGGGGACCAUCCUCCAAGGCUAAAUACUCCUGACUGACCGAUAGUGAACCAGUACCGUGAGGGAAAGGCGAAAAGAACCCCGGCGAGGGGAGUGAAAAAGAACCUGAAACCGUGUACGUACAAGCAGUGGGAGCCUCUUAAUGGGGUGACUGCGUACCUUUUGUAUAAUGGGUCAGCGACUUAUAUUCUGUAGCAAGGUUAACCGAAUAGGGGAGCCGAAGGGAAACCGAGUCUUAACUGGGCGUUAAGUUGCAGGGUAUAGACCCGAAACCCGGUGAUCUAGCCAUGGGCAGGUUGAAGGUUGGGUAACACUAACUGGAGGACCGAACCGACUAAUGUUGAAAAAUUAGCGGAUGACUUGUGGCUGGGGGUGAAAGGCCAAUCAAACCGGGAGAUAGCUGGUUCUCCCCGAAAGCUAUUUAGGUAGCGCCUCGUGAAUUCAUCUCCGGGGGUAGAGCACUGUUUCGGCAAGGGGGUCAUCCCGACUUACCAACCCGAUGCAAACUGCGAAUACCGGAGAAUGUUAUCACGGGAGACACACGGCGGGUGCUAACGUCCGUCGUGAAGAGGGAAACAACCCAGACCGCCAGCUAAGGUCCCAAAGUCAUGGUUAAGUGGGAAACGAUGUGGGAAGGCCCAGACAGCCAGGAUGUUGGCUUAGAAGCAGCCAUCAUUUAAAGAAAGCGUAAUAGCUCACUGGUCGAGUCGGCCUGCGCGGAAGAUGUAACGGGGCUAAACCAUGCACCGAAGCUGCGGCAGCGACACUAUGUGUUGUUGGGUAGGGGAGCGUUCUGUAAGCCUGUGAAGGUGUACUGUGAGGUAUGCUGGAGGUAUCAGAAGUGCGAAUGCUGACAUAAGUAACGAUAAAGCGGGUGAAAAGCCCGCUCGCCGGAAGACCAAGGGUUCCUGUCCAACGUUAAUCGGGGCAGGGUGAGUCGACCCCUAAGGCGAGGCCGAAAGGCGUAGUCGAUGGGAAACAGGUUAAUAUUCCUGUACUUGGUGUUACUGCGAAGGGGGGACGGAGAAGGCUAUGUUGGCCGGGCGACGGUUGUCCCGGUUUAAGCGUGUAGGCUGGUUUUCCAGGCAAAUCCGGAAAAUCAAGGCUGAGGCGUGAUGACGAGGCACUACGGUGCUGAAGCAACAAAUGCCCUGCUUCCAGGAAAAGCCUCUAAGCAUCAGGUAACAUCAAAUCGUACCCCAAACCGACACAGGUGGUCAGGUAGAGAAUACCAAGGCGCUUGAGAGAACUCGGGUGAAGGAACUAGGCAAAAUGGUGCCGUAACUUCGGGAGAAGGCACGCUGAUAUGUAGGUGAAGUCCCUCGCGGAUGGAGCUGAAAUCAGUCGAAGAUACCAGCUGGCUGCAACUGUUUAUUAAAAACACAGCACUGUGCAAACACGAAAGUGGACGUAUACGGUGUGACGCCUGCCCGGUGCCGGAAGGUUAAUUGAUGGGGUUAGCGGUAACGCGAAGCUCUUGAUCGAAGCCCCGGUAAACGGCGGCCGUAACUAUAACGGUCCUAAGGUAGCGAAAUUCCUUGUCGGGUAAGUUCCGACCUGCACGAAUGGCGUAAUGAUGGCCAGGCUGUCUCCACCCGAGACUCAGUGAAAUUGAACUCGCUGUGAAGAUGCAGUGUACCCGCGGCAAGACGGAAAGACCCCGUGAACCUUUACUAUAGCUUGACACUGAACAUUGAGCCUUGAUGUGUAGGAUAGGUGGGAGGCUUUGAAGUGUGGACGCCAGUCUGCAUGGAGCCGGCCUUGAAAUACCACCCUUUAAUGUUUGAUGUUCUAACGUUGGCCCCUGAUCGGGGUUGCGGACAGUGUCUGGUGGGUAGUUUGACUGGGGCGGUCUCCUCCUAAAGAGUAACGGAGGAGCACGAAGGUUGGCUAAUCCUGGUCGGACAUCAGGAGGUUAGUGCAAUGGCAUAAGCCAGCUUGACUGCGAGCGUGACGGCGCGAGCAGGUGCGAAAGCAGGUCAUAGUGAUCCGGUGGUUCUGAAUGGAAGGGCCAUCGCUCAACGGAUAAAAGGUACUCCGGGGAUAACAGGCUGAUACCGCCCAAGAGUUCAUAUCGACGGCGGUGUUUGGCACCUCGAUGUCGGCUCAUCACAUCCUGGGGCUGAAGUAGGUCCCAAGGGUAUGGCUGUUCGCCAUUUAAAGUGGUACGCGAGCUGGGUUUAGAACGUCGUGAGACAGUUCGGUCCCUAUCUGCCGUGGGCGCUGGAGAACUGAGGGGGGCUGCUCCUAGUACGAGAGGACCGGAGUGGACGCAUCACUGGUGUUCGGGUUGUCAUGCCAAUGGCACUGCCCGGUAGCUAAAUGCGGAAGAGAUAAGUGCUGAAAGCAUCUAAGCACGAAACUUGCCCCGAGAUGAGUUCUCCCUGACUCCUUGAGAGUCCUGAAGGAACGUUGAAGACGACGACGUUGAUAGGCCGGGUGUGUAAGCGCAGCGAUGCGUUGAGCUAACCGGUACUAAUGAACCGUGAGGCUUAACCUUACAACGCCGAAG
rnacentral:rRNA from 1 species